UACGGGGGGGGCAAGCGUUGUUCGGAAUUAUUGGGCGUAAAGGGCGCGUAGGCGGUGCGGCAAGUCUUCUGUGAAAUCUCCGGGCUUAACUCGGAGUCUGCAGGGGAAACUGCCGCGCUUGAGUGUGGGAGAGGUGAGUGGAAUUCCCGGUGUAGCGGUGAAAUGCGUAGAUAUCGGGAGGAGCACCGGUGGCGAAGGCGGUCUC
rnacentral:rRNA from 1 species